rnacentral:rRNA from 17 species
UAAUGCCGUUGGCUGAAAAGCCAAUGCGGCGAAGUUAUCGCCUCUAGGAUUAAGGCUGAACGCCUCUAAGCCCGAAUCCAUGCUGGAUAGGAACGAUAUUUUGACACCUCCAUCUUUACGUGGCUUACUACGAUAGAGCCCGCCCUCGUGGCUGGGUUCCAAUGUCAUACCGUUGGUUUGCAGGACUCGUCGGCAGACUAUGCCGGCGAGCCCGACGAAACCAGAAUCAUAAUUCUAAACAUGGAAGUGAUAAGAUCCCUUGUAGACGACUUGAAUACAGAACGGGGUAUUGUAAGACU